rnacentral:rRNA from 1 species
UACAGAGGGUGCAAGCGUUGUUCGGAAUCACUGGGCGUAAAGGGCGCGUAGGCGGCUUUAUAAGUCGGGGGUGAAAGCCUGUGGCUCAACCACAGAAUUGCCCUCGAUACUGUAGAGCUUGAGACCGGAAGAGGUAAGUGGAACUGCGAGUGUAGAGGUGAAAUUCGUAGAUAUUGGGAAGAACACCAGUGGCGAAGGCGGCUAACUGGUCCAGUACUGACGCUGAGGUGCGAAAGCGUGGGGAGCAAACAGG